GAUGAAGAACGCAGCGAAAUGCGAUAAGUAAUGUGAAUUGCAGAAUUCAGUGAAUCAUCGAAUCUUUGAACGCACAUUGCGCCCGCCAGUAUUCUGGCGGGCAUGCCUGUCUGAGCGUCAUUUCAACCCUCAUGCCCCUAGGGCGUGGUGUUGGGGAUCGGCCAAAGCCCGCGAGGGACGGCCGGCCCCUAAAUCUAGUGGCGGACCCGUCGUGGCCUCCUCUGCGAAGUAGUGAUAUUCCGCAUCGGAGAGCGAUGAGCCCCUGCCGUUAAACCCCCAACUUUCCAAGGUUGACCUCGGAUCAGGUAGGGAUACCCGCUGAACUUAAGCAUAUCAAUAAGCGGAGGA
rnacentral:misc_RNA from 1 species